rnacentral:rRNA from 1 species
AUUGAACGCUGGCGGAAUGCUUUACACAUGCAAGUCGAACGGUAGAGGGGGCAACCCCUCGAGAGUGGCGAACGGGUGAGUAAUAUAUCGGAACGUGCCCAGUCGUGGGGGAUAACGUAGCGAAAGUUACGCUAAUACCGCAUACGAUCUAAGGAUGAAAGCGGGGGAUCGCAAGACCUCGCGCGAUUGGAGCGGCCGAUAUCAGAUUAGGUAGUUGGUGGGGUAAAGGCUCACCAAGCCAACGAUCUGUAGCUGGUCUGAGAGGACGACCCGCCACACUGGAACUGCGACACGGUCCAGACUCCUACGGGAGGCAGCAGGGGGGAAUUUUAGACAAUGGAUGCAAGUCUGAUCCAGCCAUUCCGCGUGCAGGAUGAAGGCCCUCGGGUUGUAAACUGCUUUUGUACGGAACGAAAAGGUCUCUCUUAAUACGGGGGACUCAUGACGGUACCGUAAGAAUAAGCACCGGCUAACUACGUGCCAGCCGCCGCCGUAAAAC